rnacentral:rRNA from 1 species
AUUGAACGCUGGCGGCAGGCCUAACACAUGCAAGUCGAGCGAGCGGCGGACGGGUGAGUAAUGUCUGGGAAACUGCCUGAUGGCGGGGGAUACCUACUUGAACCGGUAGCUCCUACCGCAUACCCUCCGAUGUGCCCAGAUGGGAUUAGCUAGUCGGUGGGGUAACGGCUCACCUAGGCGACGAUCCCUAGCUGGUCUGAGAGGAUGACCAGCCACACUGGAACUGAGACACGGUCCAGACUCCUACGGGAGGCAGCAGUGGGGAAUAUUGCACAAUGGGCGAAAGCCGGAUGCAGCCAUGCCGCGGGUGUGAAGAAGGUCUUCGGAUUGUAAAGCACUUUAAGUUGGGAGGCGUUACCAACAGAAUAAGCACCGGCUAACUUCAUGCCAGCAGCCGCGGUAAUAC